rnacentral:tRNA from 1 species
GAAAUAGGAAAUUCAAAGGCAAGCUUCUAACUUAGCCUUUAAGCGAUGAAAUUUCGUUUAUAUUUCG